UACGUAGGGGGCAAGCGUUGUCCGGAAUCAUUGGGCGUAAAGCGCGUGUAGGCGGUUCAGUAAGUCUGCUGUGAAAGUCCAGGGCUCAACCCUGGGAUGCCGGUGGAUACUGCUGGGCUAGAGUACGGAAGAGGCGAGUGGAAUUCCUGGUGUAGCGGUGGAAUGCGCAGAUAUCAGGAGGAACACCGAUGGCGAAGGCAGGUCUCUGGGCUGACACUGACGCUCAUGCACGAAAGCGUGGGGAGCAAACAGG
rnacentral:rRNA from 1 species